rnacentral:rRNA from 1 species
CGAACGGGUGAGUAACGCGUGAGGAACCUGCCUCAAAGAGGGGGACAACAGUUGGAAACGACUGCUGAUACCGCAUAAGCCCACGGGUCGGCAUCGACCUGAGGGAAAAGGAGCAAUCCGCUUUGAGAUGGCCUCGCGUCCGAUUAGCUAGUUGGUGAGGUAAUGGCCCACCAAGGCGACGAUCGGUAGCCGGACUGAGAGGUUGAACGGCCACAUUGGGACUGAGACACGGCCCAG